UACAGAGGUCCCAAGCGUUGUUCGGAUUUACUGGGCGUAAAGGGUGCGUAGGUGGUCGGGUAAGUCUGACGUGAAAUCUCCGAGCCUAACUCGGAAACUGCGUCGGAUACUAUUCGGCUCGAGGGUUGGAGGGGGGACUGGAAUACUUGGUGUAGCAGUGAAAUGCGUAGAUAUCAAGUGGAACACCAGUGGCGAAGGCGAGUCCCUGGACAACUCCUGACACUGAGGCACGAAAGCUAGGGGAGCAAACGGG
rnacentral:rRNA from 1 species